UUAAGUUAACAAGGGCGCAUGGUGAAUGCCUUGGCACUAGGAGCCGAUGAAGGACGGGACUAACACCGAUAUGCUUCGGGGAGCUGUACGUAAGCUAUGAUCCGGAGAUUUCCGAAUGGGGCAACCCAGCAGUUUUAAUCAACUGUUACCACUAGAUGAAUUCAUAGUCUAGUUGGAGGUAAACGCUGUGAACUGAAACAUCUCAUUAGCAGCAGGAAUAUAAAGAAAUUUCGAUUCCCUAAGUAGCGGCGAGCGAACGGGGAACAGCCCAAACCAAAGUGCUUGCACUUUGGGGUUGUAGGACUGAACAUUUGAGUUACCAAAGAACUUGAUAGUCGAAGGAUUUGGGAAAAUCCGCCAUAGAUGGUGAUAGCCCAGUAGAUUAAAUCAAAUUCUCUCAGUUCAGGAUCCUGAGUACGGCGGAACACGUGAAAUUCCGUCGGAAUCCGGGAGGACCAUCUCCCAAGGCUAAAUACUACCUAGUGACCGAUAGUGAACCAGUACCGUGAGGGAAAGGUGAAAAGCACCCCGGGAGGGGAGUGAAAUAGUUCCUGAAACCAUGUGCCUACAAUAAGUCAGAGCGCGUUAAUGCGUGAUGGCGUGCCUUUUGUAGAAUGAACCGGCGAGUUAUGAUCCCGUGCAAGGUUAAGACUAAAAAGUCGGAGCCGUAGCGAAAGCGAGUCUGAAAUGGGCGUUUUGAGUACGAGGUUAUAGACCCGAAACCAGGUGACCUAUCCAUGUCCAGGUUGAAGGUGCGGUAAAACGCACUGGAGGACCGAACCCGUGUAAGUUGAAAAUUGCUGGGAUGAGGUGUGGAUAGCGGUGAAAUUCCAAACGAACUUGGAGAUAGCUGGUUCUCUCCGAAAUAGCUUUAGGGCUAGCCUCGGAAUUAGGAUCAUGGAGGUAGAGCACUAUUUGGACUAGGGGCCCGUCUUGGGUUACUGAAUUCAGAUAAACUCCGAAUGCCAUUGAUUCAUAUCCGGGAGUCAGACGAUGAGUGAUAAGAUCCACCGUCGAAAGGGGAACAGCCCAGACCAUCAGUUAAGGUCCCUAAAUGUAUGCUAAGUGGAAAAGGAUGUGGAGUUGCAUAGACAACUAGGAUGUUGGCUCAGAAGCAGCCACCAUUUAAAGAGUGCGUAAUAGCUCACUAGUCGAGUGAUUCUGCGCCGAAAAUGUACCGGGGCUAAGCAUACUACCGAAACCAUGGAUGCGACCAUUAGGUCGCGUGAUAGGAGAGCGUUCUAAGGGCGGUGAAGCAAGAUCGUGAGGACUUGUGGAGCGCUUAGAAGUGAGAAUGCCGGUAUGAGUAGCGAAAGAUAGGUGAGAAUCCUAUCCACCGAAUGACUAAGGUUUCCUGGGGAAGGCUCGUCCUCCCAGGGUUAGUCGGGACCUAAGUCGAGGCCGAGAGGCGUAGACGAUGGAUAACAGGUUGAGAUUCCUGUACUAGUUAAGUGCGUUUGAGCAAUGGAGGGACGCAGGAGGCUAAGAUGUGCAUUCUGUUGGAUUAGAAUGUCCAAGCAGUAAGUCUUGUGAAGAGUCAAAUGCUUUUCACUUUAAGGACAAGCUGUGAUGGGGAGCGAAAUUUAGUAGCGAAGCGUCUGAUGUCACACUGCCGAGAAAAGCUUCUAGUGAGUACUUAACUACCCGUACCGCAAACCGACACAGGUAGUCGAGGAGAGAAUCCUAAGGUGAGCGAGUGAACUCUCGUUAAGGAACUCGGCAAAAUGACCCCGUAACUUCGGGAGAAGGGGUGCUGAUCGCAAGAUCAGCCGCAGUGAAUAGGCCCAGGCGACUGUUUAUCAAAAACACAGGUCUCUGCAAAAUCGUAAGAUGACGUAUAGGGGCUGACGCCUGCCCGGUGCUGGAAGGUUAAAAGGAUGGGUUAGCUUCGGCGAAGCUCAGAAUUGAAGCCCCAGUAAACGGCGGCCGUAACUAUAACGGUCCUAAGGUAGCGAAAUUCCUUGUCGGGUAAGUUCCGACCCGCACGAAAGGCGUAACGAUCUGGGCACUGUCUCAACGAGAGACUCGGUGAAAUUAUAUUGUCCGUGAAGAUGCGGACUACCCGCGACAGGACGGAAAGACCCCAUGGAGCUUUACUGUAGCUUGAUAUUGAGUGUUUGUACAGCUUGUACAGGAUAGGUAGGAGCCAUAGAAACCGGAACGCUAGUUUCGGUGGAGGCGUUGGUGGGAUACUACCCUCGCUGUAUGACCACUCUAACCCGCACCACUAAUCGUGGUGGGAGACAGUGUCAGGUGGGCAGUUUGACUGGGGCGGUCGCCUCCUAAAAAGUAACGGAGGCGCCCAAAGGUUCCCUCAGAAUGGUUGGAAAUCAUUCGCAGAGUGUAAAGGCACAAGGGAGCUUGACUGCGAGACAGACAGGUCGAGCAGGGACGAAAGUCGGGCUUAGUGAUCCGGUGGUACCGUAUGGAAGGGCCAUCGCUCAACGGAUAAAAGCUACCCUGGGGAUAACAGGCUUAUCUCCCCCAAGAGUCCACAUCGACGGGGAGGUUUGGCACCUCGAUGUCGGCUCAUCGCAUCCUGGGGCUGUAGUCGGUCCCAAGGGUUGGGCUGUUCGCCCAUUAAAGCGGUACGCGAGCUGGGUUCAGAACGUCGUGAGACAGUUCGGUCCCUAUCCGUCGCGGGCGUAGGAAAUUUGAGAGGACCUGUCCUUAGUACGAGAGGACCGGGAUGGACAUACCUCUGGUGUACCAGUUGUGCCGCCAGGCGCAUCGCUGGGUAGCUACGUAUGGAUGUGAUAAACGCUGAAAGCAUCUAAGUGUGAAACACACCUCGAGAUGAGAUUUCCCAUUCCUUUAUGGAAGUAAGACCCCUGAAAGAUGAUCAGGUAGAUAGGUUAGAAGUGGCAGUGCGGUGACGCAUGAAGCGGACUAAUACUAAUCGGUCGAGGACUUAACCAA
rnacentral:rRNA from 2 species